rnacentral:ncRNA from 1 species
AUGAUGGCGUUGGGCGUUGGUGUCCGGCCGGACGGCUUGUCUGGUCGGGUAACAGGGAAUCCGGUGCAAAUCCGGAACGGUCCCCGCCGCUGUGACCGGACGUUACCAGACCCGCCCAGUCUCCUUGGCCAUUGUCGCGGCCUAAAGCCCUUGGCGGUCUUGAUCGCCGAGGGCGAUUGCGACGAGAAGGCCGGGUUGGGUCGAGUCCGGAAGUCAGAAGACCUACCAACGCAGGACUGUCGGUC